AAAUAACCCACCUUCGUGGUUGCAGCAGCCCUUGGCCGCCCUCCAAGCCCCAGGGGAUGGCACAGAGGAGAAAGCUGAGCAGGGCAUGGCCGGGCUGGGCAAGCAACCCCAUGCGCACUCAUUCACCCCUUGCUUUGUCAUACUGCUUCAGGGACAUGAACUUCCUUCCCCAGCUUCUGCCUUCCCACCCUGGGCCAUGCCAGGGUGUCUGCUCAGGGCUGUGCCAGGUUCCCCAGCUGCCUCUUACCUGUACUUUUGAAACCUGUUAUCAACCAAAGGAGGUCGCUCUGACGGAUACAUUAUUGAAUGGAAAGGAAGCAUCCUCUGAUUCUUGUUUCUCAAUCAUGAGCACCCUUAGCCAUACAUAACUGCCUGAAACAAAUAUAAUCAAACAGGAACGUGAAGCUUCCUUUUUCUUCUUCCCCUGCAGGGAAGAGCAGGCCUGGCCCUUCUGCUCUCCCCCUUCUAGAGUGAAGCAUGGAUACAAAGCAAGGAGCUGGGCUCCUCUGUACUGUCCCACUCCCUAGAUGAAGGCAGAUCUUCCAAAAUAUUUCUGAUACUGCAGGGAGUGGCUGAGAAAGGAUCACACCCCGGUGGGAAGAAGUUUCUGGAACCUGUGGUGGGCAGUGUCUGACCCUCUCUGUACUUCAGAAGCAGAUAGUGCUGAAGGCCUGCCAGCCACACCAAAGAGCUUCUCACAAGAAGGCACGAGCCAGGUUGAGGCAGCUUCACAAGGGGAGGAAUGACCUGUUUUGGACCAGAAGCCAUGACUCGAAUGAGGCUAACAAUACACAAAGCACAGGCACCGUAUAGAAGAGUCAUUUUCCUCCUCUCAGGUUUCAUCAUAGUAACUGUCAUUACAAGGCAGACAGAGAUCCAUGGAUGGAGGUGUACCUGCGUUUCCAGUCCUGGCUCUGCUAUGUAGGGUCUUGGAUGACCUAUGACAGGUCGGAUUUGGUCACAAAUCCAGAAACGACUUCAUGUCACUGAGGUAUUACUCUGCUGCUCUCUAUGUCCAAGCCCAUUUUUAUAUAGUUUUAUAGUCUUGUCUCUCAUACUACGCACCUACCAGCCAGACACACCUGGGCAGGCAAGGAGAGCGGGAGUACUGGUGUUUGCUGCAUAUCUACUGUGUGGUGAGCAUGGACACUUUAAGUUCAGUGGAUCUCCCCGAGUAGAAAUUAAAAGAGCUAGAUCAGUGUUGUCUAAUAGAAAAUUAAUGCAAGCCACACAGGUAAUUUUAAAUUUUAUAGUAUCUAUAUUACAAAAUUAAAAAUGAAACAGGUGAAAUUAAUGUUAAUAAUGUAUUUUAUGUAACCUAAUUUACUUAAAAUAUCAAUAUUUCAAUAUGUAAUCAAUAUCAAAUUAUUAAUGAGAUAUUUUACCUUUUUUGUACUAAGUCCCCAAAUUCCACUGUGCAUUUUGUAUUUAGAACCAUCCCAGUUUGAACUAGCCCAUUUCAAGCACUCAACAGCCAUCU
rnacentral:lncRNA from 1 species